rnacentral:rRNA from 1 species
UACAGAGGUCUCAAGCGUUGUUCGGAUUCAUUGGGCGUAAAGGGUGUGUAGGUGGCGCGCUAAGUCGGGUGUGAAAUUUUGGAGCUUAACUCCGAAACUGCAUUCGAUACUGCCGUGCUUGAGGACUGGAGAGGAGACUGGAAUUUACGGUGUAGCGGUGAAAUGCGUAGAUAUCGUAAGGAAGACCAGUGGCGAAGGCGGGUCUCUGGACAGUUCCUGACGCUGAGGCACGAAGGCCAGGGGAGCAAACGGG